rnacentral:rRNA from 1 species
AUGCUAGACAGAAACAUCCUAGAAGGGGUGGUAGUCCUUCAUGAAACUCUCUAUGAAAUCCAUACGAAAAAACUAGAUGGGGUGGUUUUCAAAGUGGAUUUUGAGAAAGCGUACGAUAAGGUAAAAUGUCUUCAGCAGGCCUUGCGUAUGAAAGGUUUCGAUCAGUCCUGGAGAAACCAGGCAGACUCUUUCACGCAAAAAGAGAGUGUUGGAAUCAAAGUGAAUGAUGACAUAGGUCAUUACUUCCAGACACACAAGGGUUUAAGGCAAGGAGACCCGAUGUCACCGAUUCUGUUCAACAUAGUGGUCGACAUGUUGACAAUCCUAAUAGGAAGG